GACGAACGCUGGCGGCGUGCUUAACACAUGCAAGUCGAACGGAAAGGCCCUGCUUUUGUGGGGUGCUCGAGUGGCGAACGGGUGAGUAACACGUGAGUAACCUGCCCUUGACUUUGGGAUAACUUCAGGAAACUGGGGCUAAUACCGGAUAGGAGCUCCUGCUGCAUGGUGGGGGUUGGAAAGUUUCGGCGGUUGGGGAUGGACUCGCGGCUUAUCAGCUUGUUGGUGGGGUAGUGGCUUACCAAGGCUUUGACGGGUAGCCGGCCUGAGAGGGUGACCGGCCACAUUGGGGCUGAUGUGCGACCCAGACUCCUACGGGGGGCAGCAGUGGGGAAUAAUGCACAAUGAGCGGAGGCCGGAUGCAGCAACGCCGCGUGCGGGAUGACGGCCUUCGGGUUGUAGACCGCUUUCGCCUGUGGCGAAGCGUGAGUGACGGUAAUGGGUAAAGAAGCACCGGCUAACUACGUG
rnacentral:rRNA from 1 species